UGCCUACGGGGCGCAGCAGUGGGGAAUAUUGCACAAUGGGGGAAACCCUGAUGCAGCGACGCCGCGUGAGCGAUGAAGUAUUUCGGUAUGUAAAGCUCUAUCAGCAGGGAAGAAAAUGACGGUACCUGACUAAGAAGCCCCGGCUAACUACGUGCCAGCAGCCGCGGUAAUACGUAGGGGGCAAGCGUUAUCCGGAUUUACUGGGUGUAAAGGGAGUGUAGACGGUUCUGCAAGCCAGAUGUGAAAGCCCGGGGCCCAACCCCGGGACUGCAUUUGGAACUGUAAGGCUAGAGUGUCGGAGAGGG
rnacentral:rRNA from 1 species